rnacentral:rRNA from 1 species
AGCGAACGCUGGCGGCGUGCUUAACACAUGCAAGUCGAACGGUAAGGCCCUUCGGGGUACACGAGUGGCGAACGGGUGAGUAACACGUGGGCAACCUGCCUCAUAGAGGGGAAUAGCCUUCCGAAAGGAAGAUUAAUACCGCAUAAGAUUGUAGCUUCGCAUGAAGCAGCAAUUAAAGGAGCAAUCCGCUAUGAGAUGGGCCCGCGGCGCAUUAGCUAGUUGGUGAGGUAACGGCUCACCAAGGCGACGAUGCGUAGCCGACCUGAGAGGGUGAUCGGCCACAUUGGGACUGAGACACGGCCCAGACUCCUACGGGAGGCAGCAGUGGGGAAUAUUGCACAAUGGGGGAAACCCUGAUGCAGCAAUGCCGCGUGAGUGAUGACGGCCUUCGGGUUGUAAAGCUCUGUCUUCGGGGACGAUAAUGACGGUACCCGAGGAGGAAGCCACGGCUAACUACGUGCCAGCCGCCGCCGUAA